AGUCGGCGCAAGUCUCAACCGGCUCGGAACGAGAGGCACCUGCCCGUCCGCCAGCCUCAAAACAGCGCGCGGUGCCGCUCCCGGGAUACCUGGGUUCCCGCUGGUCCUGCCACGACCCCCGGGGCGCUCCUCGCUGCGGCCUUAUUAGGAGGCGGCCCCCGCAGGGAGCAGGAAGCAGAAAGUCUCUGCAAACCCUUCCAGAAGGCGGACGACGGUGGAGUGCUGAAUUAUACCCAUAUGGCCAACAGAUGGGGACCCUGGGCUGCAGGAGCUGUAGGCCCCCCCGGGAGAACCUCUCUUCUCUGCCCUGCGCGGGCUCUUGAGGACCGUGGUCAAAGGAGCCCAAGUCUUGCAUCGCGGCAUCCUGACACACACUCAUUGGCCCCAUGAAGUCGGGGGCGCUGAUUGAGAAGCGUUAUGAUGAGGUCACUGCCAGCCGUGAAUGCGCUCUCUGCGUGCCAGGAACGACCGCAUCCUGUUCCACGUCCUGGAACUGCUGGGCUCAGGUGUGCAGCCCCGUGGCCAGAAUAAUGCCUGCCCCAUCACAAGAGAGUUGGCUCCCAUCCUUCCUCUUGCUGACGGAGUCGUUUGGGGCUGGAUGUGCUCAGAGGAGGUAAGCUCACGAACUGCUCCACAAAUGUAUCGGCUAGACUGUGGGCUAAGCUGCUGUAACAAAGAGACCCCAAAACGCCGUGGCCCAAAUGUGUAAAACUUAAUUCCUCUCUCAUUAACAGAGGUCAUAAGGUAAAGAUAGGAGGUGGGCGAGCAGCCCUGCUGUAUGAAACCUCAACUUUCCACAUCCUGCUCCUCUUCAAGGCCAGCUCUGGGCCCAGCACCCUCGGGGACCCUGGGCCCCUCUGGUCCACAGGGUGAGCUCCCUUCAGAGGACACAGCACACACGGCCAUGCAGGGCUGGGUGACCUGGCAGGUGAGAAAGCUCUGCCUCCUCCACCCAAGUGGGGGCUCCUGGAGGUUAAGGGUCAUGUCUUCUUGGCUUUUAUCCCCAUGAUGUCAGCACAGGGGAGGCUCCCCGGGAGAGUUUUUCCCCCAGCAUGCCUGGGAACUGCCGUCAGCCACCAUCAUGAAAGCUGAGGUGUUUGCUUGUCAUCACUUACAUAUUUUCAGCUUAAAUACCAUACAGUUUCUUCGUAUCUUCCAAUGAAUGAAAGGAAAAAAAUGUAUAUGGGGGGUGUGAAAAUUAACUCAUAAAAAUCCUUGACUUACCAAAAAAAUUCAAGAAAUGUGCUUCAUACACACAGAUGUGGCAAUUGGGAUGCUCCUUUCAUGUGCAGGAGCCCCAGGAUGGAAGGGCUGCCAGGCGUACCGAGGGAAGUAUUUCUCAUCUCUGUAAAGUUGAUAGAAUCUAAUUUCUUAGUGGAGAAACUUGCUGCGGUUGUUAGUUUGUGGUAACUGCCCCUGUUUAACUGGUUUAUGGCUAAUCCCAAUCCCAAAGAGCAGUAUAAUUCAGUUAUCUACGAUGGUGUGGAAGGCACAAUUUGUGCAUUAAACGGCAAAAGCACACUGUUCAGGUGGGCUGGCCCUUGGGAGCCCUCCUGAGAUAUUUCACAGCGGGUAUGAGUAGGUGGGGGAGGACAUAUUUUGUUUCACCUGCUUAAAAUGUUUUCAGACCAAUAACCUUGUGGCCAUUCUCUGUGUUAGAUCCAAUUUCAAGCUCUUUCUUCUGGAGCAUCUUGGUCCUGUCCACUGCUGCUCCUUUGGUCUAUUUCUGCAGUGAGUGGGGUAUUGUGUGUCCUUUCCUGGCACUGGAACAUUUAUAAAUGUAGCAAGCCUUCCUCUGCUUUGGCUGCUGGCUAAAUCCUAUGACUCUACACCUAACCAACCUCAUAAAUAGGGAGGCCUCGUACCGUUGUGCAGGUUGCACACUGCACAACUCCAAGGAGUGCCAUUUACAUGGACCACAAUGGAACCUCCAGAGCUGUAUUAGGACGACCUGCACAAUACUCCAGUAAAGCCCCAUCUCAUAAAUUUCUCUACAUGCCAAGGGCUCUCUUCUAAAUACCACCCUGACAAAACAGACAAAAUUCCUACCCCCAGGAAGCUUACAUUCUAGUGGGGGGAAAUACAUAAUAAACAAAUUACAGAUGCCUAUGUGUAAUAUUAUGUCACACAUAUAAUAUUACAUAUGUACAUACAGCACUACAUAUGUGCAUAUGUAAUAUUACAUGUAUAUGUAAUUAUGUAUAAUAUAUUAGUGGUGAUAAAGAAGUAGAAAAUAAAUCAGGGAAGGGGAAGAGAGUGGCGGAGGUGAAUUUUAGAGAGCAGAGAUCUGGGAAGGACUUUCUGAGAAGAUGCCAUUUGUGCGAAGCCUGAAGAGUGAGGAAUGUGCUGUGUUCCCAGGGGGAAGGACACUCCACACAGAAGGAACAGCACGUGCAAAGGCCCUGAGGCAGGAGUGUGACCAGUGCUGAAGAAGCGGCAGGGAGGCUGGUGUGGCUACAAUGGGGUCAGAGGGAUAGUGACGUGGUCAGAUGGAUCCCGAAGCGGGGCCACUUCAGACUUUGGAGGCUGUGAUGUACUUGGAGCUUACUCUGCAUCAGAUGAGAAGCCAUCCAAGGGUUUUGAGUAGAGGAGUGGCAAAAUUUCAAAAAAAUCACCCUGACCAACAAGUUGAGAUCAGACAACGGAUACAGAGGAGGAAGCAGGAGACUAAUUAGGAGCAACUGGGGGGAUUCCGAGCAGGUGAGAAAGGCUCUUUUUUUUUAGACUGGCUGGUGAGGCUGGAGGGAGGGGACCUGUGUCGGGGUCAAGGUUAGGGAGGUGGGCAGGGGCAGGGCAGUCCAGGUUGAGUCUUGCCCCCACGUUGCAGGAACAUUGGGUUUGAUUUCCCAGCGGGGGGGCUGAGAUUUAUCCUGACUGCCCAGUGCAGCAGGGCUGCUGGCAUGAGGGGUGUCCCGGGCAUGGGGAACAAGAUGCUGGGAGACUGGAUCAGGUCAGAAAUGGUGCAAGUGGGAGAUUUGCUCGGUUGUGCUCUGAAGGCCUUGCUGACGGACUGAAGGAAGGAAGAGGAAAGUCAAGGCGGACUCCUGGGUUGUGGCUUGAGCAACGGAAUGGAUGUUGGUUCUGGUCAUGAGAAGUGGAAAACUGGAAGAGAACCAGCCAGGUUUGGGGGAGAAACAAGGGGUUCCACUACGACCAUGACAUAAGACGAUGUUAAAUGGGAGAUGCCUAUUAGUCACUUGGCGCUUCUGUGUGUAAUCUACAAAGGAAGUCACACAUUCAUUCAAUUACUAUUUGUCGAAUGAGUAAGUGGGUGCCAGCCCUUCUGGAUGAGGGAGGCCAGACUGGGAGUCAAAGAUGGCAAUUCAGAGUGAUGAUGCUAACACGACCCCAGGGGAAGCUGUCCCACCCCUGUUACUGUCACCGGUCGUUUCAGCCAUUGGCAGAGGAGCUGGGCUGGGAACGAAGAUCUCUCUGCUAUAGGCAAAGGGUCUGCGUGGAGGAGAGACGGCAGGACCCAUGUGCCCAGGCCGGGAUUGAACCCAAGUCCUCGUGAGUACCAGUCCAUGUGAAUUCAUUUCCGCUGCACCACAGCAGGAACUCCUAUCUGUCUUUUUAAUUUUAGCCAUCCCAGUGUAUGUGAAGUGGUAUCUCAUGGCAGUUUUGAUUUGUGUUGUCUUAGUGACUAAUGAGGUUUUGCUUCUGUCAGUUUCAGCCUCUGAAGGAUGUGGGGUCCCCAGACCAGGACAUGAUGGUAAUUAGAAUAGUGCUGUCGACGCCUUCCCUUCAAGCCUAAAGAGGUGCAGGUUUUAUCAGAGUAGGAGCCAACAGGUAGGCUCUUUCCGCAACACGUGUGGUUUUUGCCUGAGAGCCUGGCCGUGGAAGUGAACGCCUCCCCCCAAAAACAGUUUAAAAAUUAUUUUCACACACUAAACAAGUAGCUGAAGAAAAAAUAAACUAAUGUGG
rnacentral:lncRNA from 1 species